UACGUAGGGGGCAAGCGUUAUCCGGAUUUACUGGGUGUAAAGGGAGCGUAGACGGCGAAGCAAGUCUGAAGUGAAAACCCAGGGCUCAACCCUGGGACUGCUUUGGAAACUGUUUUGCUAGAGUGCUGGAGAGGUAAGUGGAAUUCCUAGUGUAGCGGUGAAAUGCGUAGAUAUUAGGAGGAACACCAGUGGCGAAGGCGGCUUACUGGACAGUAACUGACGUUGAGGCUCGAAAGCGUGGGGAGCAAACAGG
rnacentral:rRNA from 2 species